ACUUACCCGACCAAUUUGGUGGAUUAUAUCUUGAUUAGAUCGCUAAGUGAUUUGAGUUGACCCAUACCAUUAAGGUUGAUCAGUGUGACUAAUCUAGGUACCAUUUCAACCAGCAUGAUCCUAAUCCAAUUCAAUGACUUAGUGAAGUCAGUGGGAGGUUGUAGUUUACUGGUUGUUCUCUUCUCUUCUCUUGAUUUAUAAAUUAAAUCUUUUAAAUUAUUAGAUCCAUAAAAUGAG
rnacentral:lncRNA from 1 species